UAACAGUUAGAAAUGGCCGCUAAUGCCGCAUAAGACCACUGCUCCGCAUGGUGCAGGGGUAAAAACUCCGGUGGUAUGAGAUGGACCCGCGUCUGAUUAGCUGGUUGGUGGGGUAACGGCCUACCAAGGCGACGAUCAGUAGCCGACCUGAGAGGGUGACCGGCCACAUUGGGACUGAGACACGGCCCAAACUCCUACGGGAGGCAGCAGUGGGGAAUAUUGCACAAUGGGGGAAACCCUGAUGCAGCGACGCCGCGUGAAGGAUGAAGUAUUUCGGUAUGUAAACUUCUAUCAGCAGGGAAGAAAAUGACGGUACCUGACUAAGAAGCCCCGGCUAACUACGUGCCAGCAGCCGCGGUAAUACGUAGGGGGCAAGCGUUAUCCGGAUUUACUGGGUGUAAAGGGAGCGUAGACGGUAUGGCAAGUCUGAUGUGAAAGGCCAGGGCUCAACCCUGGGACUGCAUUGGAAACUGUCGAACUAGAGUGUCGGAGAGGCAAGUGGAAUUCCUAGUGUAGCGGUGAAAUGCGUAGAUAUUAGGAGGAACACCAGUGGCGAAGGCGGCUUGCUGGACGAUGACUGACGUUGAGGCUCGAAAGCGUGGGGAGCAAACAGGAUUAGAUACCCUGGUAGUCCACGCCGU
rnacentral:rRNA from 1 species